GGUGAUCAUCCUAGCAUGCAUUAUAUUCAUAAUAUACAUUAUAUUGCCAAUAAUAUGAAUGCUGCCAUGGAAUUGGCCAAUCCUACAUGGAAAGACGAUAUUUAUAUGUGGCGUCGUAUAGUACCAACAUGGGUUCCAAGAACAUUAAACUGGGAUUUAUCUGGCUUUCUUGUUAUCAACUUUAUGCACGAUUGGAAUGGUAUAAGGUUACCCUGCAUUUGCACUAAUGGGAAUGACCUGAGGACCAAAUUCUUAGUAGAAUUAUUGAAGUACAAGGACAAUGAAUCCAAAGACAAUAUUCCAGAAGAAAUACAAGAAAUUAUUAGGCACA